GAGGCAGAAUUGGUGAUGGAGCUGCCAAGUUUACCUGAGAUUCUAAGAAUAGAUUUAGAGGAGAGACAGUAGAGAGAGGGUGAGAGAGUUUAUGGGAUUCACAGACAAGGGAGAGGUGUCCAGCUACUGUUGACCCUGUCAAUGAAUUCCAGAUCUUUUCUAAUUAUAAUUUUAAACUCUAAAAAUAAUGUGCAAUUCUGACUACAUUCUUGGGCAAAGCCAUGUCAAUCUCCCUAAACUCAGUAUUGAUUAUAUAUUUAUCCACAACUCUCAAACUCCUAAUACGGUGAGACAGUUGAUGAGCGCUGCAACAUUAUUGGUAUGGAGAAUACUUCAAUGGAUAGUGGAGGACAUCAUGAUUUGAGUGAUGCAAGCGAUGUGCUCCGUCUAGUCGUGGAAAUACAAGGCUCAGUAAAGUUAACUUUCUGCCGCAUUGUCACUGGCUUCCCAGGCAUAGAAAAAAGAUUUAUUUUGCGUUGCACUAUUUUCUGGAUAGAAUUGCCAUGGUGGAGGAAAGAGUGUCAGCAGGGAUCCACUGUGUCUUUCACGCUUUUUAGGGGGAAAAAUGAAAAGAAAGAUCAUCAAAAGAUGCGGCGAUCAUCAACCUUCUUUACUGAUACAUGUGCUGAAGCUGUUGAAUAUGACACUGCAGCAUCAUCUCCAUUUGGAC
rnacentral:misc_RNA from 1 species